ACUCUUGUUUGUAUAUUUCAGUUUUUUGUAUUUGUGUGUUCAUAAAAAAUCAAAAUAAAUCAUUUUGAAAAAACGAACUGAAUCUGGCAAUGGAGGGCUUCCUAUAUAGCCUGCUGGAGCAUGAAAUGCCAUGAACUCACACGGGGGCAUAACAUUACAUGUACAAUACUAUCCCAUUUUGGAAACGUUACAUGUAUGCUCCCUUGUGGAGGGAAAUUAUGUAGUUAUACAUGGGAUUCAAAUGCAUAAUGUUAUUAAUACAGUGACUAAACUACCUCUUGUAUUGCAUGCCCUUCAGAAUCCAAACACAGUAUUGCCAUGCAGUAAAGUGUUGCCUAUAAUCUUUCAAGUCUGCCUGAUAAAAUAUUGAAUAAAAGAUAGCUUGAAAUGUGAUAGGCUUGUAUGGCAGUACUUGUACUGUAUGGCUAGUGCUUUCUCCAAUAUGUUAUUCUAUUUAGCAUUGAAUUGUACGUCAAUGCCAUUUAUCUCUCAAUAUUUAUUUAAUACAAAUGCUUGUAAGACUAUUCUUUGACACAUUUUCCCUACCUUUGAAAUUGUUAUAGGACAGAACAUGGACACAAUGCAAUUGUGAUCAAGGAGAAGAUCUUCUCAGAAAUUAAGCAAGAACAUGGAAAUAGGCAAAAUGAUAAUUCAAGGACUCCGCAAGGCUAGUGGCAAAAUGAUAGCAGAGGUAGAGAGGCGACGCAGGGGUGAGGACAUCAUCCUGCUAUUUCGACAGUCCCUGAAGGACAAUACAGAUGAGGCACACAGGACCUGACACCAUAGCAGCAAUCCUGCUCUUGCCCUACCUUUUCAAUGAGGACCCGAGUGGCCUUUACACUAUAUCCGUGACAAGGCGGAAAUCCAUUUCACCAUAAGAGUGAAAUCCCGCUGGCCUAUGAUGGGGAGAACAUGCACGCCCUAGAGGACGUCCCCAUGGGACUUGGGGACUUUUCUUCAGUUAAAUUUCCCUAAAAUGUCAGAAAAACACUUAUGUUUUAAAUUACUGUGUUCUGGGGAUAAGAGAGUUGGGGUGAAGUUACCAGGGCGGUCAUGAAGAUGGCAAACUUCCUAACAUAACUAAGAAGUUGUUGGGCAAGUGAUUUUUGGACACACACACUAAAGCAAAAAAUUUACAACCUGUACUUGGUGUCAAGUCCACAAAAAGUUUAAGAAACCCUGCACUUGUACACUACAGAGUACAUGUAAUAUCUGCAGAAGUAUAAUGUAAUUACUAGGUGUUACACUUCAUUUUAACUAGCUAAAUCAUGUGUAUUUUGAGGGGUACAUAAUUGUUAUUCAAUACUCCAGAAAAUAUGAGGGCAGAGCAAGCAGAGGAAAGUAAGAAUUUCAGCUUUUUCUCUGUGAGAAUCUCUGAGACCAAAGUAGUUAAGGAUUUAGUUAAGGUUAGAGUUAAGGGUCAGUUUUACAUUUAAGGGUCAGUUUUAGAUUUCGGUUAGUCAUGUUGCAGGUCAGCAGUAUCCUUAUAGUCUCUCUCUUGCUGUAGGUAAACCGUGCCCCUCCCCGACUUCACUCGUCGACUUUCUUCUACAAUCGGUAGCGUUAAAGCCUUACUUACACCGGAUGUGUUUAUUGAUCACUCUUUGGAAGUCAUCCUCAAGAGUUUCAUCAGCAACACGUGACCACGUAGGGCCCUGCGAGUUGGCAGGGGUGAGGGGCUGGUUCGGAAUUCACAAUACAAAAACACCCUAAUGAUUGGUUGACAAAUAGUGCCAGGCGAUGGCUGCAUGAUCAUUUGUCAACUUACUUUGUCAACUUACUGUGCCGUGGAAUCUACGUGAAAAAUAUACUGGAUUUGAAAAAAGUCAUCAACUGUUGUUUUGGGGGUUACAUUUCAGUCACAUGAUGAUGUCAUCAUGGUAACCAAUUUUCAAUAUAGACACAUUUUGUAUAACAUAUGUUGAAUUUGUAUCUUUGAAACAAUGUCAGAUCUUCAAUGUAAUAUCCACAAUAAGAAAAAAAACUAUAGUCUGGGCAGCACCUACUAUAGUUAUUUCUUCAGUCGCCCAUACAGGGUUUUAACCAAGCUUUGGUAUUUGUCAUUGACUAUUACCAUUACCAAUGUGCUAUCGUGAGAAUGAUUGUUGAGAAAUCUCCACUUAAUAGAUUCACUGUUGCUAUCGAAGUCAUUCCAAAGGGUAGGAUCAACAGAGCAAAUGAAAUGUAACCAUCCUUUAUCAAUUAUGUAUAAUCAAUGAUACUAUUUAUACCGAUAUAGCAUUUGGAAAGUCAUCAAAAGCUAUUGUUUAAAUUCAGCCCAGGAUUCAACUAAAAAUAGACGAUACAUAUAAGCCUAGAGUUUCAAGCUUUGGUUGAUUUCAAAUGGAAUCUACAAGUUAUGUUGGAUUCACAUCUACAUCUCAACCAAAAAUAAAAGUUAAAGAAUAGGAUUAAAUCAAAUCAAACUAUUUAAAUGCAUUUUAAGUUUGAAAUGAUUUAGUCCUAUUCCUCAACUUAGAUUUUUGGUUGAAAUGGAGACGUGAAUCCAACGUAUAAUUAAAGCCAGACUCAGUGGCACAGAUGUCGCUAUCCAAGCAGAAGAUUAAUCUUCUUCAAAUGUUUAUAUUUGGUUUCGUUGACAACCAAACACAAGUUAAUAACUUUUGAGAUAAUGUAAAUAGCCUAUUAACUUGUCGACAAGUUAAAAAAAAGUAUAUGUUGGAUACAAGUCUCCAUCUCAACCAAAAAUAAAAGUUAAAGAAUAGGAAUAAGCCAAUGCCUCAGAUGGAACUCUCCUUUAAAUGUUGAUUUGUUUUGUCAACCAAACACAAUUCAAUAUGACUUUUGUAAGACAGGCAAUAGCCUAAUGUUAAGGCUUUCUUACAAACAAAUAAAACUUUAUUUAUUCAAACUUAAAAUAAGGAACCCAUCCAUGGACACAUUGAGGUUACUGUAACAAUACAUUUAUUUGAUUUUUUAAAUCAUAGAAAGCGUGCACGUUCAGGGUCGCAGGUCUGUGGAAAUCUUCACAGUUGCUAUAAUAAUCUGCACAGAAUCUCAAACGGCAUUGAUCACUAGCACCAUGUACUUUAAUGUCAUCUCAACUAAUUGCAAUCCAGGUCAUUUGGUUGUGCUAUUAGAUCAAGAACAGUGAUUAAACAGUCAGUUGUACUUAAAUAAACAUUUUAGACAUUGA